rnacentral:rRNA from 1 species
UACGGAGGGGGCUAGCGUUGUUCGGAAUUACUGGGCGUAAAGCGCACGUAGGCGGCUUUGCAAGUUAGAGGUGAAAGCCCGGGGCUCAACUCCGGAAUUGCCUUUAAAACUGCAUCGCUAGAAUUGUGGAGAGGUAAGUGGAAUUCCGAGUGUAGAGGUGAAAUUCGUAGAUAUUGGGAAGAACACUAGUGGCGAAGGCGCUAACUGUCCGAGUCUGACGCUGAGGUGCGAAAGCGUGGGGAGCAAACAGG